CAGCCGCCACGGUAAUACGUAGGGCGCAAGCGUUGUCCGGAAUUAUUGGGCGUAAAGAGCUCGUAGGCGGUCUGUCGCGUCUGGUGUGAAAUCCCGAGGCUCAACCUCGGGCUUGCAUCGGGUACGGGCAGACUAGAGUGCGGUAGGGGAGACUGGAAUUCCUGGUGUAGCGGUGGAAUGCGCAGAUAUCAGGAGGAACACCGAUGGCGAAGGCAGGUCUCUGGGCCGCAACUGACGCUGAGGAGCGAAAGCAUGGGGAGCGAACAGGAUUAGAUACCCGCGUAGUCCCUGUCUCUUAUAA
rnacentral:rRNA from 1 species